rnacentral:tRNA from 1 species
GGAAGUAUAACUCAGUGGUAGAGUUCCACACUUUUUAGUGUGCAGUGACAGGGGUUCGAUUCCUCUUGCUUCUGUUCCA